AACCGCCUGAACUGAAACAUCUAAGUAGGGCGAGGAAGAGAAAUCAACCGAGAUUCCGCUAGUAGUGGCGAGCGAACGCGGAAGAGGCCAAACCAAGAGUAGUAAUACUUUUGGGGUUUUGGACAGCGUACGGUAUUAACUGCGGUUAGUAGAAUGAAAUGGGAAGUUCAACCACAGAGCGUGAUAGUCGCGUACACGAAAACUAAAGUUAGCCAGCUGGAUCCAGAGUACCGCCGGACACGUGAAACCCGGUGGGAAGACGGGGGGACCACCCUCCAAGCCUAAAUACUCUCCAAUGACCGAUAGUGUAUAGUACUGUGAAGGAAAGGUGAAAAGAACCCCUGGCGGGGAGUGAAAUAGAACCUGAAACCUUGUGCCUACAAGCACAUAGAGCGCGUCAAUGCGUGAUAUGGUACCUUUUGUAGAAUGGUCCGGCGAGUGAAUGUCACUGGCAAGGUUAAGCUCUUCAGGAGUGCAGCCGAAGCGAAAGCGAGUCUGAAAUGGGCGUUUUAGUCAGUGGUAUUCGACCCGAAACCGGGUGACCUAGCCAUGAGCAGGCUGAAGUGGAGGUAAAACUCCAUGGAGGGCCGAACCCACUCCCGUUGAAAUGGUAGGGGAUGACUUGUGGCUAGCGGAGAAAUUCCAAUCGAACCCGGAGAUAGCUGGUUCUCUCCGAAAUAGCUUUAGGGCUAGCCUCAAUUAACAUUACCGCAGGUAAAGCACUGAAUGAGCUAGGGGGCGAAAGCUUACUGAACUCUAUCAAACUCAGAAUGGCGGAUAAUGAAUGAUUGGGAGUCACACUACGUGAGAUAAGUUUCGUGGUGGAAAGGGAAACAGCCCAGACCCACAGCUAAGGUCCCAAAGUACAGUUAAGUGGAAAAGGAUGUGAAAUUGCGCAGACAACCAGGAUGUUGGCUCAGAAGCAGCCACUCAUUCAAAGAGUGCGUAAUAGCUCACUGGUCGAGUGAUUUUGCGCCGAAAAUUUAACGGGGCUAAACUGUACACCGAAGCUUGGGAAUAUACAUUUGUAUGUUGGUAGGAGAGCGUUGUGUAAGGGGUGAAGUCGUAGCGAAAGCGGCGGUGGACUUUACACAAGUGAGAAUGCCGGAAUGAGUAGCGAGAAUUAUGUGAGAAUCAUAAUGGCCGAAAGACUAAGGUUUUAGAAGGAAGGUUCGUCCGCUUCUAGUUAGCCGGGAGCUAAGGCGAGGCCGAGAGGCGUAGUCGAUGCACAUACGGUUGAGAUUCCGUAGCUACCUUGCAUUUAAGCGAAGGGACACAUUUGAAGGGCAUGACCCGGGCGUUGGUUGACCCGGGCGUAAGGGACCGAAAAUAAGUAGGGAAGCAUGCUUGGAUGGUGGCGAGAAAAGCUUCGUGUAUAUAAGCAGGGUACCCGUACUGCAAACCGACACAGGUAGUCAGGAAGAGGAUUCUAAGGCCAUCGGGAGAAGCGUUGUUAAGGAACUCGGCAAAUUGACCCCGUAACUUCGGAAUAAGGGGUGCUCACGCGAGUGAGCCGCAGUGAAUAGGUCCAGGCAACUGUUUAUCAAAAACACAGCUCUCUGCUAAAUCGUAAGAUGACGUAUAGGGGGUGACACCUGCCCGGUGCUGGAAGGUUAAGAGGAGGGGUGCAAGCUCCGAAUUGAAGCCCCAGUAAACGGCGGCCGUAACUAUAACGGUCCUAAGGUAGCGAAAUUCCUUGUCGGGUAAGUUCCGACCCGCACGAAUGGUGUAAUGAUCUGGACACUGUCUCAACAACGCACCCGGCGAAAUUGUAGUACCGGUGAAGAUGCCGGUUACCCGCGGCAAGACGGAAAGACCCCAUGGAGCUUCACUGUAGCCUGAUAUUGGGUCUCGGUAUUUUAUGUACAGGAUAGGCGGGAGACUUGGAAACCAGCACGCCAGUGUUGGCGGAGUCACCCUUGGGAUACCGCUCUUAAAGUAUUGAGAUUCUAACCUGCAGCCAUGAAUCUGGCUGGGGGACAUUGUCAGGUGGGCAGUUUGACUGGGGCGGUCGCCUCCAAAAGAGUAACGGAGGCGUUCAAAGGUUCACUCAGCAUGGACGGAAACCAUGCCUUAGAGUGCAAACGCAUAAGUGAGCCUAACUGCGAGACUGACGGGUCGAGCAGUAACGAAAGUUGGAGUUAGUGAUCCGGCGGUAUGUGAGUGGAAAUGCCGUCGCUCAACGGAUAAAAGCUACCCUGGGGAUAACAGGCUGAUCU
rnacentral:rRNA from 1 species